CCAAGUUGGUUCUAGUAAUAUUUAAAUUUCAUUAUCAGGGAAAAAUAUUUUCUUUUCCUAAAGUCUCAAAAUAUCUCUGAGAAUUCAGAGAUAAUAUGCUUGCUGCUCCAUAGAAGGUGGCUAUUCUUUAACUUGCAUCAGCCUUCCUCAUUUUUACCAUGCCCCCAGUGCACGUACACACACCACACCGUACCAUGAAAAUUAACAAGGGAAAAAUGGCCUGAAUUUUAUUUUCUGGGAAUGGUGACAUUCAAAUGAGUUAUAAAAUAUGCAAAUAUAUUUUAGAUUCCUGGUGCACAAAUCCAUAACAUUUUCUCCUAGGUUGAUAAUAUGGUCAUCAAGUUCUUGGGUGCUGCAUUUUGUACAGUCAACUCUUGCAACGCGAGAGAACCAUCAGCCACUUGGGGACACGGAGAUAUUAAUGAAAAAACCAAAGAAGGCAUUGCAGAGGGAAAGUAAUUUGAUCACAAAAAAUGAAAAUCUGCCAUGAACCUACAUUGAGGUGACAAGAUAGUCUGGAGAGCACUGAGCAGAAUAAAGGGAGCCUGACGGCCGUACUCCUACAUACUGUUUCCAGUUUGGAAAUUCAACCCAAGAGACAUUUAUUGAGGGUCUGCUGCAUGUGAAGGAAAACAAGCUGCCGCUAUUGAACCCCUCCUGUGUGGUAGGCACUGUUCAGUUCUUUAACACUUUGGUGUUUUACAUGCUUGUUGCAUUUAAUCUCAUUUAAUGGGUAAAUCACUGUGGGGAGUACGAGGCUGAAAGAAGCAGCCUCUAGCCCCAGGGACGUUCUAGACCUGUACUGUCCAGUGUGAUGUCCCCUAGCCACAUGUGGUUAUUUGAGAAUUGAAAUGUGGCCUGUCCAAGUUGAAAUGUGUUCUAAGUGUAAAAUAGACACUGGAUUUCCUAGCACACAAGAAAUGUAAAAUAUCUCAUUAAUAAUUUUUGUGUGGAUCACAUUUUAACAUUACACAGUAUUUUGGAUAAAUUAGGUUAAAGAAACUCAUUAAAUUAUUUUCACCUAUUUUAUUGUACUUUUGAUGUGGCUACGAGACAUUUAAAAUUAUAUAUGUGGCUCAUAUUCGUAAUUCAUACUGUAUUCUGUUGGAAUAGGGAACAGAAUAGAGGUAAGAUAUACAUUGCUGAGAUCGGGGCUCCCUUCCAACCUUAUGACAAGUAUUGAAAUUGGGGUAAACAUUUUGAAGGAUACUUUGGCAGUGUUCCACAACAAAAUCUGGAUCUUUCCAGGAGUUACUAUAGUAUUCCUGUAGUACUGUGUCUGUACUUCAGACACAGAAUGCCGAGUUUAACAUAGGUAUGCCUAACAUCGUAUUUAACUUUUCCUUAUGAUUCCCUCUAAAGUAUAUGUUCGUAUGUUAUUAGCUGUUAAUUGACUAUAAUAUGCUGGGCACUAUGUGAGGUGUCCACUACAGUGGUAGGUAAAUAUGGAGAUCCAGAUUCAAGUAUUAGAUGAUUCUAAGGUGGAAGGUUCUAGAGCUAUUCGCUGUCUAUAAGUAGCUAUGAUACCAGAUACAAAGUGACAGAUGCCUUAUGUGUGGCAGGUGAAGAGCUUUGGUUGUUCGAGAGUGUGGUCACUGUCUGGCUUGGAGCCUGUUGAGCUGGAGCCUGGAGGACAAUAGGACAUCCUUGGGCAAGAUUGGGUAGGUUUCGGUGGUGGUGAUCCAAGGGAGGGAACAGCAAGAGAAAGGCUCGGAGGUGAGACAUUCUUUGGGAAGAAUGGGGCUAACAUUUUCCUGGGACAUGGCACGUGUGCAGGGGAAUGAUACGAGACUGGACUUUAAAAGUGGAUGGCCAGGCUAGGGAAUGUGGACAUUUUCCCUGACUGCUUAAAUGUUAUUCAAAUGGUUUUUUAGAUACAUAAUUAGCGGUCCCUCUAAAAUUAUGAAUUUUUGAAAGUGUGGUAUUGUCUUUUCCUUCUGAGAGUGAGCUGACUUAGUGCUUACAUGUUUUUAAAAUAAAUUCUGUUGAAAUAAUUACUUUGAGUCUAGUUUCUUCAGAUCCUCCAAAUGUGGUAUUUGUUUUGUUCCAAGUAGCAACAUGUUCUUUUUAGGAAUGAGAACUGUAAGACACAAAGAGAUGUGCUGAGACAGGAGGAUCCAUUUUUCUCUGAUAGCCAAUUGGAUGAAGUGUUUAAAAAAGUACGCCAGCUCUUUAUGUCUUAUAUUUUCCAUUCUAUGAACGAAAAACACUUCCAUAGAAAUUAUUUUUAAGACUAUGAAGUCAAAUAAUACCCACGGGUCUU